GAUGAACGCUAGCGGCAGGCCUAAUACAUGCAAGCCGAACGGCAAUCCCGACGGUAACGUCGGGACUAGAGUGGCGUAAGGGUGCGUAACACGUAUGGAAUCUACCCGCAACAGGAGGAUAGCUCUCCGAAAGGGGAAUUAAUCCUGCAUAGGAUUUAGGGGCGGCAUCGCCUUUAGAUUAAACUUCUAGGUUGUGGAUGAUCAUGCGCAUGAUUAGUUAGUUGGCGGGGUAA
rnacentral:rRNA from 1 species